rnacentral:rRNA from 1 species
GUGGGGGAUAUUGGACAAUGGGGGGAACCCUGAUCCAGCGACGCCGCGUGAGUGAAGAAGUAUCUCGGUAUGUAAAGCUCUAUCAGCAGGGAAGAACAUGACGGUACCUGACUAAGAAGCCCCGGCUAACUACGUGCCAGCAGCCGCGGUAAUACGUAGGGGGCAAGCGUUAUCCGGAUUUACUGGGUGUAAAGGGAGCGUAGACGGUGAAGCAAGUCUGAAGUGAAAGCCCGCGGCUUAACUGCGGGACUGCUUUGGAAACUGUUUUACUAGAGUGCUGGAGAGGUAAGUGGAAUUCCUAGUGUAGCGGUGAAAUGCGUAGAUAUUAGGAGGAACACCAGUGGCGAAGGCGGCUUACUGGACAGUAACUGACGUUGAGGCUCGAAAGCGUGGGGAGCAAACAGG